rnacentral:rRNA from 1 species
UACGUAGGGGGCAAGCGUUGUCCGGAUUUAUUGGGCGUAAAGAGCGUGUAGGCGGCCAUGUAGGUCCGUUGUGAAAACUGGAGGCUUAACCUCCAGACGUCGAUGGAAACCGUAUGGCUAGAGUCCGGAAGAGGAGAGUGGAAUUCCUGGUGUAGCGGUGAAAUGCGCAGAUAUCAGGAAGAACACCCGGGGCGAAGGCGGCGCUCUGGGACGGUACUGACGCUGAGACGCGAAAGCGUGGGGAGCGAACAGG